CUGUAACGGAAUACAGUUACUCAUAUUUUGUAUUUUAAAUACGUAACGGCGGUACAUGUAUGCCGUUACUCCCCAACACUGCAGAAGAUGAACCUUCGCCCAAGCUCGAUGUCCAGCACACUUUUGGACCAGGUUAUGUCUCAUUCGUCUUUUCCUUCAGAGAGUCCUUCACAGGCCUUUGGGCAAACUCCAGGUGGGCUGUCGUAGCUGGUUUCCUUUAGCACCUACUCGCCUGAGCCCGCCUCUGUUUGUGUCGUGCUCUAUUACAUUUGAGUUUCACCUCAAUAUGUGUGGGGUUGUCAUGGGAACACAACCAACAUCCCAUGUGUCUAUGUGCCACAAACACAAUGGAUGACAUUGAGGCGAUGGUAUACCCGCUGCUUGGUCUGUGGGUGUUUGUCAGACUCGAGCACCAUGAUGUCAGUUUGUAGGUAACCCUUGUUGCCGAGUUUCAGAAAUGCCAGGUUUCAUCUAACUCGUGAUUCAUCUAAUGACACCGCUGGCUGGCCAAUUGGGGGCUUUUGAUGUCACAUUUUUAGACUGACUCUGCUCGGUUGGAAAGCCAGGCCAGCAUUUGCUAAAAAAGUACCUGGUACCAGGUACUACUCCCUGAUGGAAAGCCCUAGAAACUAGGUUGAGCUCAGCCGAGUAGGUACUAGAUGAGAGGCGCAGAAGAUUGCCCAGAUUGCAGACAUUACUGACAGACGAUCAGUGUGCACAGCUAAACAAACAUGAGUGUCGGGGCUGUGAGUACUUGUGUCCAUCUUAUACUUUAACAUGGACAGUCAGCUGACUGUGCAGAGGUGAAAAUGAAUGUCAUGGAAUAAGGCUGUAACGUGACAACACGAGGAACACUGAAUGCUUCCAGGAUGAUGUGCAGAGAUCAUCUAUGAUGUUUCUGUGUCUCCUGCUCGAGGAGCACCAGCUCAGACACUGGAUGGCAGCAGGAGGCUCUGUGUGUGUUUAAUGUGUAAUAAAAGUGUCUGUAACUGUCCGGUGAUGGAGCCCUGUCACGCUCGGUCCUUUUAU
ensembl:lncRNA